AUGACCUUCGCCGGCAGCGGUGAUGGCCCGAGCGGCUCUGCGAGGGCGCACUUCGUGCUGGUACCCAUGAUGGCUCAGGGUCAUACCAUCCCCAUGACCGACAUGGCACGCCUGCUGGCAGAACAUGGCGCGCAGCGGAGUUCGGCCUACCCCGGGUGCGAGAACCUCGACAUGAUCCAAUCAAAGAAUUUGUUCCUGAACUUCAUGGAGACCUGUGCUGCGCUGCAGGAGCCGCUCAUGGCGUACCUCCGUGAGCAGCAGCGCUUGCCUCCUAGCUGCAUCAUAUCUGACCUGGUUCACUGGUGGACUGGUGACAUCGCAAGGGAGCUUGAUAUCCCAAGGCUGACCUUUAAUGGCUUUUGUGGCUUCUCGUCCCUCAUCAGGUACAUCACUUAUCACAACAAUGUAUUUCAAAAUGUCAAAGACGAAAAUGAGCUCAUCACAAUCACAGGGUUCCCUACGCCACUAGAGCUGACAAAGGCAAAAUGCCCUGGAAAUUUUUGUAUUCCUGGUAUGAAGCAAAUCCGUAAGAAGUUCCUUGAAGAGGAGCUGAAAAGUGAUGGUGAGGUAAUUAACAGCUUCCAGGAGCUGGAGACAUUGUACAUUGAAUCCUUUGAGCAGACGACAAAGAAGAAGCCAGGCUCAGUGGUCUUUGUCAGCUUUGGCAGCCUCGCUUGCACUACACCUCAACAGCUUGUUGAGCUGGGACUGGGACUUGAAACCUCCAGGAAACCGUUUAUUUGGGUGAUCAAAGCAGGAGCUAAGCUUCCAGAAGUUGAGGAAUGGCUCGCAGACGAGUUCGAGGAGCGUGUCAAAAAUAGAGGCAUGGUCAUAAGGGGUUGGGCACCACAGCUCAUGAUCCUGCAGUACCAAGCCGUUGGAGGAUUCGUGACGCACUGCGGGUGGAACUCAACAGUAGAGGGCAUCUGUGCAGGUGUGCCCAUGAUCACAUGGCCGCACUUUGGGGAGCAGUUUUUGAAUGAGAAGCUGCUGGUGGAUGUGCUGAAAAUUGGGAUGGAGGUUGGAGUGAAAGGAGUUACACAGUGGGGAAGUGAAAACCAGGAGGUUAUGGUUACAAGAGAUGAGGUGCAGAAAGCUGUGAACACCCUGAUGGAUGAGGGGGCGGCUGCAGAAGAGAUGAGGGUGAGAGCAAAAGACUGCGCCAUUAAGGCAAGGAGGGCUUUCAAUGAGGGAGGUUCUUCGUAUGACAACAUAAGGCUAUUAAUUCAAGAAAUGGAAAUCAAGACGAAUGCAUGUGGUUCAGUGGUUGAUACAGAUGGUAAUAAGCUCUCUUUUUUGGUGUAA
rnacentral:rRNA from 1 species